UGUAAUCCAACCUCUUACAUGUGUAAUUCCAUGUCAUUUUUCCAAUGACAUGUAAGAAAUUAAAUAUUAAGAAAAUAAAAAAACCCAAAUAUUUUAACUUUUAGAAAUUUUUGAAUAGUCAUGUUCUUCAACAUCCAUAUAUGCUCACAAUUUGAGCACCAAAUUCAUGUCAAAUAGAUGAAUUUUUUCUUUAUUUGACUUGAAA
rnacentral:lncRNA from 1 species